GAUCAUGGCUCAGGAUGAACGCUGGCGGCGUGCUUAACACAUGCAAGUCGAACGAAGCACUUUAUUUGAUUUCCUUCGGGACUGAUUAUUUUGUGACUGAGUGGCGGACGGGUGAGUAACGCGUGGGUAACCUGCCUUGUACAGGGGGAUAACAGUUGGAAACGGCUGCUAAUACCGCAUAAGCGCACGGCGUCGCAUGAUGCAGUGUGAAAAACUCCGGUGGUAUAAGAUGGACCCGCGUUGGA
rnacentral:rRNA from 1 species